rnacentral:lncRNA from 10 species
UGGCUAUAACAACAGACAUUUACUUCUCUCAAUUCUGGAGGCUAAGUCCCAGAUAAAGAUGGGGCAGUUUGGGUUCCAGGUGAAAGCCCCUUCUUGCUCUGUCCUCACAUGGCACACAGAGGAGAACAAGCUCUUCGUUGUUUUUUCUCAUAAGGGCACUAAUCUCGCCAUGGGCGACCCACCAAGGUGACCUCAUCUAAAUUGAAUUACCUCCCAAAGGCUCCAUCUCCAAAUACCAACAUAUUGGGGUGGGGUAGGGCUUUAACAUAUGGAUUGGGGGAGGAGGGAAAUAGUUCAGUCCACAGCUGGUGGCAAUGCCCAAGCUCAACGGAAGAUUAAAGUACUGAAUUAGGGAGAACUGUGAGAUGAGGUUAGAAAGACUAAUCAUACGGAGGUCAUCAAGUGCCAAACUAAAGAGCCACUGGGCUUUUUAGAUCAUAAAUCCGGGGGUUGCUUAUGGGAUGGAUUUUGUUAGAGAUCACGAGUAGGAAAACCAUUUGGGGGAGUAAUGUAACAAUCCCUGAGGGAAAAAUAAAAACUAACACUAUGAUGACAACCCUCGAAUGCACCACCACCAGGAAGCCUUUCCUGAUGCUUCGCCAGAGAGGUUCUCUUUAAACGCGAAUUUUUCUUGAGUUAUCCUAGAAAUGUAAGUUACACCUCACAUUUCGCCUUCUUUCGUACAUGUUCCUGUGCGUUUCCUAAUCCUUCCACUUUGUAGUUCCUCCAGCACCGGUUGUGUCCGAGGGCCCUUCUGGCGGAGCCACACUCGCUCGGCCCAAGGUCCCGCCCUCCAGCAUCAGGAUGCACGGACAGUAUUUGUGGACUUGACCGCAUCCCAGGAAAUCCAGCGGGCCUGGCCACUUCUGGGCGCCAGGACCACAGCCGGCCACCCCACGGACGCCUGGGACGCUCUUCUGGGCCCCCUUCGGGGCUGGGCGUCGGGCUCGCAACAACUGCGACCAACUGGCUCCGCGAGGCCUGGGGCGCAGGGGUGGGGCUCACGUCGUGGGACGGUUGCAUGGAUUAUUUUCGAUUGAUUUCCGAACCUUCAGGAAGCAGACACGCUCCCCUUCCUUCUUAGGGAUGGGGCGGCAGCCAACGAAAGCCCGAAGCCGCCUCCUUUUCUGAGUGGGGAGCUUAGAGAUGCUCAGGAGGGACCUCCCCGAUUCUGCGAUUCUGAGCAUCAAUUUUGGCAGGAGGCUAGAUAGAAGUAGCAAUUGACAUUCAUCACCCUAAAGUGCGGAUUAUGUCAGUACAGAUGCUACGAUAGAAGAACUAAAAAAUGACAGAAAUGGUUUUACUGUUUUUAAAC